UUCCCUUGAAGAUACUGCCAAAAGGAAAUAAUUGACAGGAUUUUAUCAGUCACUCUCCAAGCUAUUACUUUCUAAAAAAUGGUGGUUGUCAAUUCAGAAGCUAAGGAGCCUGGUAUUAAUUAUCCGUAUUCUGCAUUAAUUAAUUACCUGAUUAUAAUGAGUGAAGGGAUCUCCAUCUUGGACCCCGGAUGCACUCGUGGGAUCAACUUUUUGCAAUUUGGUUUAUGAUCAUACCUCUCUUGGCCCUUUGGCUAAGAUUGAACGUGCAAUGUGAUUUAUGAUCAAAUGCUUCAUCUUCGGUUUGUUGCUCGAGUUAAAGAUAAUAAAUUUGCUAUAUUAAAUUAGGUAGAGCUUAAUACCUUGCUGUUUCCUUUGGUGUACUCCUAAAUAUAAACAGAUCCAUGGACUGAUAGUUGAGGUCAACAUGCCUAGAUAUUGUCACGCGUGCCAUCUGCCAUAAAUAAAUAAUUACAUGGAAGUUUGGAAGUCAGUUAGUAACUCUUGAUUGAUGGCCAAAAGGAAAAGUUAACUACAGGUGAUCAGUUUGUCAUGAGCGAGCAUCCAUAUAUGUAUGUGUUGUUUAGUUUUAUCUAUGCCACCUUUCUCGUUGACAUUGCUCAUUUUUUUAGCUUUUGCAAAUUUGGCACCAUCAUUAUCUUUGAGCUUUCUCUGUCAUGAGAUGAAUGUAAAGAUUCAGAAUACAAACUCUGUGUUGCUUGAUUCAAUUUGUCAUUUGUGGAAUCUUGUGUCUUAAUUCUUCUCAUUUUAGCUUAUUGUACUUUAUAGAUAGCCAAAAAAGCGAUGGUAAUAAACUUAACUGGGCCAAAAUUGGUUUUCUUCAUGACAUGGAGUAUACUGCAUACCUUACAUCAUAUCUUUAGCACUUGUCAGUUGCAUUUGUAAGUAUACUGUUCCUAUUUAUCCAAGUUCUGAUACCAUCAACGCAAAGCGAUAACAAAAUGGUUUUCCUUUUUCCCUUUUUGUUUAAGGACAAUGGUUGGACUGAAGAAUGAUUAACCCUACUUCCCUUAUUGAUGCAGAAUACGUAAUUUAUUUACUGGACAAGACCAUUGCAAGGUGCGCAACAUACUCAUUGCGCUUUAUAAAACAUGCAUGUACAGCUAGUCUGUGUUAAUUUUUGAAUUUUGGUGUUGCAGGGGUCUUCAUUUGUUGGUAGCUAAAUUUUUUCGAUUAGUCUUGACAAUGAAGUUGUUUGUCAAUAAAUUUGCAAUUUCUGAGUCUUUUUUUUUUUUUUUUGGCGGGGGGGGGGGGGGGGGGGGGGAAACUCGGGAAGAUAUGUGGGAUGAUUGUAUUUGAUGUGCAGUGCAAAAAGGAAAAGUGAUCUUGGGUUGAAUAGCAGCGACAAUGGGAUUUGUGGGUGUCAUUAGACAAGUAUAUAUGGCCUUGUGCUUCUCAGUCAUAUGUAGGCACACUAGAAUUAACACACACAGAAAAUAGUAAUGAAAGAACUGAAUAUUACACCCGAACUCGUAUUCACCUUCUUAACUUUUCUAUCUCUCAUUCGUAUAGGACACGUAGAAGGAUUUCUUCGCCGUUGUGUAUCUUUCCAAUGUCCUUUAAAGGAUGUGACAAUUUUGUGGAUCACCUCUUAAUAAAUUGAUCAGUCGAUAGAUAUAAUUUCCGAUUGUAGAUCCUUGUGUAUUUUUUGCCUGUACUAGUAAUUGGCAUCUCUAUUUUCGAUGCUUUCUGUUUCUGUCCUUGCUUUCUCAACUCUCUCCAAAAUAUUCCUUAUCUACAUUGGAAAUUUCUAGACAUCUGCAAACCUGUUUUCCCCCAAUAAAAUUAGGAAUCUACCUAAUGCUGAUGAGAAUCUCCUGCUUACAAAGAGAGUUAUGCUUUCUUUUUGCUGAAUUAGUGAAUCAUGUUUCCUGACGAGUACAUGUGAUUAUUGAGGUCCUGCUUUUUCAGUUAAUCGACUAAAUCAGGGUGUACGCAUUCCGUUUCAGUUCUUUCAAAGGACGGGAAAUAGGGAAUGAAAAGAUGAUUGUCAUUCUUGAUCUGCAAAACAUAGGUUAUAAGAAUGUUGAUGCACGUGGCCUCAUCACUGGAUUUCAGUUUUUACAGGUACUUAUCUCACUUCAAGUUUUGUUUCUUGUUAAUCUCAUGUAUCUGUCUGCUAGUCCUUCAGACUAGAUCCAUCUGCUUGUAGAUGAGAACACGCAUAGCAGCGAGGAGAAAAUUCUUUUGUUCUUAUGAGAUUAUCUAGUCUGAAAAAAGAUCCAAAUGAAUUAUAUUGUAUACUCUCCACUUCACUUGGAGUAAUCUACAAACUAAAAGCAAAACAAAUGAAAGAAGAAAACAACAACUGAAACAAAAUGCUGCUUAAUAAUUCUCCUCUUGGUAAUUUUUUUGAAAACAAAAUGCUGCUUCAUUGUCUGAGAAGUCCUCUUAGAUUUGCAUUUACAAAUGUCCAAAAAUGUCACAAGACCGAGACCAAUUAAUCAGGAAGAACACUUUUUACCUCCUCAUUUUCCCAAACACAGAUUUCCCUCUAGCAGCUUUUCUUAGAGCUGUUCACUUGGCUAUAUUGAAAUGUUCGAUUAUUAUAUUCUUUUUCCAAAUUUUGAAUUGAAACAGUGCUCUUUUCUCAAGAGACUUUUGGAUCUACAUGAGAAGAAAUAUGACCGUUUCCUGCACCCGGAGUACCAUUCUUGAAAUGAAUUUGUAAGCUAGUUAUGGGUGAUAUGAUUGAUGUGGGGCAGGCAAUGAAAAUUUUCCACGUCAUUCUAGUGCAAGCUACUGCACUUAGUUCUAUCAACUUUGGGUAAUUCAAAACAUGUUAUAGUACAGCAAACUAAGCUAUUCAAGCCUACUCUAAAACUUUGGCUUCUAUCACCUAUUUGAGAAACUGAUGCAGUCUAGAACUUUUUUCUUUUGGCAAAUGCAUUUAUUGCUAGUCAGAACUUAUACUGUGAGUCUUAUAUGUAUCAAAUGGUUGAUUCCCAUGGAAAGAGAAGACAAGAUUAUCAGUCUAACUCAGAGAUACGUCUAAUUUGCAAGAUGAAAUCAGAACUUUCACGGAAAGCCUUAAUGCAUGAACUUGCAGGGGACAUCAUAAAGAACUAACUCCCAGGCACACAAUUUGGAACCUCAUGUUUAUAGUACAUGCUAAGUCUGUUGACUUGGAUUUUGUCGAUUGUCUUUCUUCUUUUUGCCUUGAUCUAUAUCUGUUUAAGCCUUCUUUUUUCCAUUUUGUAUUGAGCUUUUUGUGCUUCAGUUUGAAGCUUUAAAACAGAGUUCUUCCAUUUAAUUCUUUUAGAAUUAUAUCCCCCUUUAGCCCCUGUUCUAAUUGGGUUAAUUUUCCCUUCCCACUUCAAGUUGUAUCGAUCUCUAAGGGUAUGUGAGAUUCAAUUGCUGCAAGUGAAAAAUCGUUGACUGUCUUGAAAUUGCAGCCAUAAGUUGAUCACGUAACUAAUCUUAACCAUGGAAUGUAGACUAACCUCAGUAAUGUCAUUUCAAAUGUUCUGUAGUUAUUGGAUUCAAAGAGAAAAGCUCAUUGAGUAAAGUGAAAUCUAUCUAUCGAAGUAUCGACAAUAAUUAUCCAAUAACUCCAUUGGUGUUAAGCAUCAGUUGGACAAGAAGUAGACAUUAUUCUUUAGCUAAUGGUUCUACCACUGAAAGUUUGAUGCCAUGAUAUUUACAUUCCUCUGAAUCAUGGGCUUCUUAUUACGCAGGCUUACUAUCCUGAGCGCCUGGCCAAGCUUUUCUUUCUGAAUAUGCCAGGCUUCUUUGUCAGUGUUUGGAGAAUGAUUUCUCGAUUCCUCGAGAAGGCAACAAAGGAAAAGGUGCACUUCUUUUGCCUCUGCACAUAAUUAUUCCGAAUCAAUGCAUAGUUUCUCUCGUUUUGCUCAUUAUUCAAAUUUUGGCCUAAUAUGAUUUAUGCAUCCUCUGCACCUCUUUUUUCCCUUGAUAGGAAGAUAGUAUCACCAUAGGGCACCAAGGGGGUGCAAGCACUUGUACAAAAAGAACUCAAGAACUUAAAAAGGAGCUCAGUCACAAUACAAAACAUCUACAAUGUCAAUCAAAGCAUUUGCAUCGAUGAGUAAUUUUCCACUAAGCAAAAAUAUAGGAUUUUGAAACCGAGCUUUCAAUAAUUACAAAAAUUGAGAAUGCCUCUCCUUCAUAGGCUCUCUUGGCUUGAUCUCUCCACAUCUGCCGAAAAACGGAAGAAGGAAUAUGAGCAUGAGACGCACCUGAUGAUAAUACAUCUUAAACAAUAUCUACUUCACUAAUCUUGCUUGUCAAGCAUUGUCUCCUAAUCUCGACCUUAAUUCUGAAAUAAAUUCUGCAGAUCGUGAUUGUGAGCAAUGAAGAUGAACGAGAACAACUCUUCAAGGAAAUUGGCGCCGAAGUCUUGCCCGAAGAAUAUGGUGGGCAAGCAAAGCUUGUGCCCAUACAGGAUGUUGUUUUGCCCCCUUUGGAUAAUUAAUUUUAGUGACUGGAUAAAAAAAUCUUCAUUUCUUGGUUAAAAAGGGGAAGUAAAAAAGGAGAAUAAAAAGAGCAGCUGCAAUCUCGGCAUCAGCUUCCCCGUAUAGUCGUAUGUACUCGUAAUGUAUUUAUAUCAUUUUCAACAGACCUGUUAUGUACGUAUCAUGUAUGUACUAACUUGCUGGGCAACUUUAUAUGCAUAACUAAGGUUGCUGUUGAUUUUAAGUAUCAAUCACUUGUUAAGGAAGUACAUGCUUUCAAAACCAACAUAGUUCAUUGAGCAGGCUAAGCAAAUGUUGGCGAACCAAAUAUCGAGAUAUAUCAACAGAGUAAACAAUUUGUGCUCAACGAGAAACCUCGAAUCCUAGCCCUCGCUUUAGUACAAGAAUGGACACGGCCAAGUGCCAACUACCCAGAUAAUCGUUACUGUCCGUGUAGUGCUAAUUUGUGCUACUUGCUUUCUAGGUAUGGAGUGCUUGUAUUUCAAGGAUUAGCAGUUUAGCGAUGAAGAAAGUGAGGAUGGAAAAGGAGGGAAAAGAGAAUAAGUGAACAAGGACGUGCAGAAGAGGGAAAGGUGCAUUCGUAAUUAUGUGCUUCAAGCACCUUGUCAAGGGGAUUAACUGGGUCCCGUUCGGAUCAUGUCCCAGAAAAGCAAACCAUUCAUUUGUCUUGCCCACGAAGGGGUGGUUCAUGAUGUGACCAAUCUAGCCUAUUGGACUAGGUUAACUAAAUAUUAAAUUAUUAAAGGAUUUAAAUCAUGCGUACAUCACAUGUUUCUAUAUAAGUCAUUUUAGUGUAAAUCUCAAUAUCCUCCAUUUUGCAAUAUAUUUUAUCCGAUUGGGAUCUAUAGACAUAAAUUACCUCUUUUAUACUUUAGCGGUACAGACCAUCUCUUUACAUUGUCCAUUUGCAUCCUGAGCUUGAUAAUUAGCAUGUUGGGGAGGAUCCUAACUUCAAAUUUAGUCAUAUGACAUAGACGGGUUGUUGUUUGUUGAGCUUAACUCCAUCAUGUUAAACGUUAGGAUCUCGAUUGAUCAUAUCAAUCUCUGUCAAGUGACGAAAAUUCCUAGAUCUUAUGUCGGGGGUGGCAAUUAAGUUAUGUAAAUGCCUCUAUUAUGGAGUAAUAUGAAUUAUUAUACCGAAGGACAUAAGCUUUCUUUUCACCGGAUGAGGUAGCUGCCUUCUUCAGUUGCUCCUACUUGCCAUGGUGGUGAUGGUUCGAUUUCUCCUAUAAGGGAAUUAAUAAACAAAGCAUACCCGGAUUAAAAAAAGAGAGAAGAUAAGAGUAUACCCAAGUCAUGUGGGUCACGCUAAUUAUUCCCUCCUUUUGUUUUAGCUUCCCCACCGUGAACUAAAAGGGCAUGUUUUCGAGCCAUGUUCUAGAUUGUUUUGUGAUCAGAUCCACUAUGAAAAUCCUGCAUCUUUCAGAGGUUUGACCAGAUGAGAAAGCCCGCCAAUGGCAAUCCUCGGAUGGGCUUAGAGGGGGUGAAUUGGUUGACCUGACCUUUUGAGCUUUCUUGUGGUUGUCAGUGUGUAGAUGGUGGAAAUUGUGGUAUAGGAGGUGUGAUAAAUGAAAAACUUUGUAUGUACAUAAAAUAAGCAAGACAGUAUGUAAAAGAUACGGAAAAUAGACUUAUACAAUCAUCUGUAAUCCCUCCAUUCGUAUUGUCUUCCUUUGCUAAUAGCCCAAUAAAAAUUGAGAUCUAAAAUAAGAAAUCUUGUGAUGUUAACCAAGUCACUAGAAAAUGUUUCAAGUUUGCCCACACCGAUUAACUUAUAAGCGAUCGUCCUCUGUAUAUGUUCAAGUGCAUUCAGAAUCUGUUGUAGGUUCGAAUGUAUGUGCGGACAUUUCAAUUAUCUCUCCGCCUUCAAAAUCAUCUCAUUCUCCUACAUGUUUUUCCACAGCACAUAAUGUACACUAAAGUGGACAUAGCAGGAGUGGAAGCUUGUGCGAUGGACUGAAUCACAGCCCGUGGGAAGAGAGAGGGAAAGACUUCUGAAGAUGGCAUCUCAUCAGGGAGGGAGAGAGAAGAACUUCUCAAGGUGGGGGAUUUUUAAUCAGGGGAAAGAGAGGAACUUCUGAGGGAUGGUUGACUAGUACUGUUGACACACUUGGCUUUCUUAUGUUUUCACCGGUCUUUUCCAGAGUUCUAAAUAAUAGGUCUCGCUUCUUGCACUUCCACGCAACGCUCUCUACCUUCAGCAAUUCAGCAUUUUGGCGCACCUCUGUCAAUUCUCCGUCCGGGUGAGUCCCCGAUCUCUCUCUGUCCAUUCAUGCACUCACUCCCACAUCAUCGGAUCAUCUCGCUCUCUCGGUCCGUCUUCUCAUUUGGAUCACGUUUCUUUUUCGAACAUGCGCGAGUUCUAUAGUGAUUAGUGAUGCAAUAUUUGGGAGGUGUAUGAUCUUGUUAUGUUCGAUCCACCACCACCAUCAUUAUUCUCGAAAGAGUCUUUGCCUGUUGCAUGAGUUUGUACUAAUUGAAUUCUCUCGUAAGCUAUUGUUUUCUGUGUUCUUUUUUGUUUUUUGUUUUCAAUUACCUUGAUUUGAAAUCUUAUCACAGCGAUGUUAUUUGUUUAGGAUGUUAUUAUACUGCCAAAGCAUUACAUUCUAUAGGUCCCUUAUACUUUAGUCAUGUCAAAGCUAGUUUAAUUAAUAGUGUAUAGGAAAACAACUAUGAUAAGAUGGAGAAGGAUAGGUUUGAAAUUGAUCUUUGCAUAAGGCUCUGUUUAUUUAAUGUUGAAUCUAGAGUGAACCCAUUGUGAGUUCAAUGAUCAACAAGAAUUGAAGAGAAGCAUUUUUUAUCUACUCUCUAUCCUUUCCUCAGAGUUUUUCCUUUUUCAAAUAUGUUUGAUCUUCGCUUCUCAUUUUUUAGAUCGAAUUUUAGCCUAUGUAAAAAUAAGUUGGACCGGUUUCAUUGACACGUGUGACUUUAUUUUGGUAGAUUGAUGAAUUCAGUCAUUUUUGUGGAGUUCUAACUUUUGAAUGUUUGCUUGUUCAUUUAAGCUUUUUUUCUUCAUGUUAUUAUUAUUUUUUUUUUUUGGGUUGAAUCCAAUAGUUAGCUUGUGAUUUUUUCUUGGGAGAGAAUAGCUUGUGAUUAUUUGGUGAUUUUUGAAUUUGGAGUUGAGAAAUAAAUUCUUUAUUCCUCCAAAAGGUUUUUUUCUUGGUCGGAUCCUCCAAAAGGUUUGAAUUCGUGAAUAAAGUUGUUCCCGUGAUUCUAAUUUUUUUUUCUGAAAUUCAUUUUUAUGAUUUUCAUUUUUUCCCCUUCUAUUUGCUGACUCAACGUCCACCGGGGGACACGUCAUGGCCAAGUCGACAUUAAGUAGUAACGAUUUAAAAAUUUACUAGCAUCAAUACUUUGUAAAUUGUAAAAACAUAGAAAGUAAAAUAAAAUUCACGGAGGCGCGUGAGCUGACGCGCCGGCGACUGCUCAGCGCGACUGUCCUUCUUCUAUAUGCUGACUCCGGCGUUGACAGUAGUCGAAUCUCUCUCUCUGUCUCUCUCUCUCCCUCCUCCUCCUCCUCCUCUCAUGGCUUUUGCCACGACGGAGCCUCCGGAGAUGGACCGCGACGUCCGGUGCAAACCGCGGGCCCGCUGCUUCAGGCCUCGGCGGCGGCGGCGGCGGCCGGCGCAUCGGCUGCGAAUGCCGAUUCCACGUAAGAAUGCGACUUCUAUGAUCGCGACACUCGCUCUGUCGGCUUGAAUUUCGAACUUUCGGAUGGUUCAUCUCUGCGAUCAUCAUUUCCCGCCUUCUCGAGCGGAGUUUUCUUACUCGAAUCCGUCCUAGAUGUUUCAAAAGCCUCUUCCGGCUUUCCUGCUUGCUAGGAUGUUCUUACGUUUCGUAAUUCGGUGGAAGAUGCGUGGCCCCCGGUGGGGGGGGUAUGAUCGGGUCGUUCCGGUGAGGGGGAGGCGGAGCUAGGUGCUAGUGAUGAGUCAGAGAACACAUAUGCUUUGACUGCGCACUUCAUUUGAAAUAGACAGUAUUGGAUUAAGAACCAAUUUUGCGUUUGUUUUGGACAUAGAUCGAUGAACUCGUUAGGAGGAAGCGGAUCAACGUGCUUGUGUUGUUGUACUUGUCUCGGUGAUCUUGAGGAUAUGAAUCACAUCCUGCCGAGCGUGUAAUUUGGUCAUGCAAUCGUAUAUGAGACUUAGCCCCUGUCGAGUUCCCGCAUAGUUAUGAGGUGUUAGCUAGUUGAUGAGUAGCGAAUAGGCGCUUUUGAUCAUGUCUAGUCUUUGUUCUUGAAAAUGUGCCUAGAUGUACUUGCAAAUAGUUAAAGAGUAAGAAUUGAGAUUGCGUAGUUUGACUCUUUAGUUUUGGUUAUGUGGAACCCAAUCUGUCAUUCUUUAUGAGCAUUGCGCGGAGGCAAUAUCCAUGUUAUGUCUUCAACUUCAUUCUUGUUUUCUGUGUUUAUUUAUUUAUUUAUUUUUUCAAUUGCAGUUAGAGUCUUUGAGAUAGCAUGGGUAGGACUAUUCAGUUGUACGGGUUCUACUCACCAAUUAGUGCAAAAGCAGUCAAGGAUUUUCUGGAGCAAUAUACUGGCAAGAUGACUGUUUAUGCAGUGGAAGUUCAGAAACCAAGAGUUGGAAAGCGAAGAACAUGUGCACAUGUUCAAUUUACUGAUAAAUUUUAUGGCGAAUAUAUUAUUUCUCUUGCUAAUGAUGAGAAUCUCUGGUAUGGCAAUUCAUAUAUAAAGGCAAUGGAACGAGAUUCUGAUGUUGUUCCAAAUCCCAAGGUCUUUCAGCACUCCCUGGAUAAUGUAACUUUGCAUUUUGGAUGUCAGACUUCUGAGGAUAUGUUCACUGCCUUGUGGGAGAGCCCAAAUGCCUCUGUAAAAUUUGGAUUUGGCAUGAGAAAAUUGUUCUUCUUUCUAACCUGUCAUUUUGUGGACUACAAGCUUGAGCUCUCCUAUGAGAAUAUUUGGCAGAUUCAGCUUCACCAACCAUGUGGUUCAACUCUGAAGUAUCUAGUCAUUCAGGUUUGAUGCUUCAACUUAAUGCUUGAAGUUUUUAAGCCAUAACAUCGAAUUGCUAUGUUCUUAUCGGUAUUGGAUAUGUUGAUGAAUUGUAUGCGGUAGGAGGGCCUAAACAGUGCAGGUUGUAGUGAUUCACAAUAUAUAAAAGAACUGCUGUUUUACUUCUCUAAGGGUGAUACUCUUUCUAAGAUGUUUGAUUUAUGAACUUCCCCCAUCCGCAUAUUAUUGGUAGAGCAGCAAUUUUCCUCUGUAAUAGCACGAUGGUUUUAUGUGCCCGUCAAGCUGGACACUACUAAUUCUUUUUUUUUUCUUUCUGUGGUCUUAUUUCACCAGUUACUAGGUGCCCCUCGGAUCCAUGAAAAAGAUUCCCGCUCUCCCAAAUAUUUUAUGGCAGCUGCUGAUGACCAAUGGGUUAGGGAAGUUGAUUUUACCCCAUCUUUCUGUAUUGGCCAAUCUUCGUCUUUGUGUUUGGAACUUCAGCAUGGUCAUCAGCUUCCUGAUUUUGAUAAGUAUCUUGAUCACUACAAAGAACAGAGUAGGUGGUUCACCCUGAAAAGUGCCCCUCCUCGUACUUAUCGUUCAGAUCUUGUACCUGUUGUGCUUCCACCAGCUGGAGUUGCAUUGCCAUAUGGAAUCUUGUUCAAGGUCUGUUCCUUGGUUCAGCAUGGGUAUCUACCAUGGCCUGUUCUGGAUCGAAAAUUUUUCCGGCUGGUUGAUCCGAGAAGAAUGGACAUGAAUGUUGCUUGCAUAGAACAUGCUUUGGAAAAACUGGGUUGUCUAAAAGAUUGCUGUUACCAUCCUGUAACUUGGCUUGAGGAGCAAUAUCGGCGGUAUCUGGGUUCUGACCAUAAACCUACAGCUGGCACUCUUUCUCUAGAUGAUGGGUUGGUGUAUGUGCGUAGGGCUCAAGUAACUCCUUCUAAGAUGUAUUUCUGUGGUCCAGAAGUGAAUGUUUCGAAUCGGGUGCUGCGUAACUAUCCUGGAGAUAUCGAUAAUUUUCUCCGUGUUUCUUUUGUUGAUGAGGAGCUUGACAAAAUUUAUUCAACAAAUUUGUCUCCACGUAACUCUGCAAAUGAAGAAAGGCGGAGUGGAAUUUAUAAGAGGAUAGUCUCAACAUUGAGAGAUGGGAUUGUUAUUGGUGAUAAGAGGUUUGAGUUUCUUGCCUUUUCAUCAAGUCAAUUACGUGAUAGUUCUCUUUGGAUGUUUGCUUCCAGUGAAGGGCUUACUGCAGCAGAUAUAAGAAAGUGGAUGGGGGAUUUUCGUAAUAUACGAAAUGUGGCAAAAUAUGCUGCCAGACUUGGUCAGUCCUUUAGUUCGUCAAAGGAAACUCUUAACGUCAGGAAAGAUGAAGUUGAAAGGAUACCAGAUGUGGAAAUUAGAAGGGGUGGAGUUAAAUAUGUUUUCUCUGAUGGUAUUGGGAAAAUUUCUCACCAAUUUGCUCUGGAAGUGGCUAGAAAAUGCGGUCUUACAAUUUCAACCCCAUCUGCAUUUCAGAUUCGAUAUGGUGGGUUCAAAGGUGUUGUGGCGGUGGAUCCAACUUCAUCAAAGAAAUUAUCAUUAAGAGGCAGCAUGCUCAAAUACGAAUCAUCAAAUACGAAACUAGAUGUUUUAGCGUGGAGCAGGUAUCAGCCUUGCUUUCUUAAUCGACAGAUUAUUACUCUUUUGUCUACUCUUGGAGUCGAGGAUCAUAUUUUUGAAAGGAAGCAAAGAGAGGCGCUAUGUCAAUUGGAUGCUAUUUUAAAGGAUCCUCUGGUGGCGCAGCAUGCGCUGGAGCUUAUGUCUCCUGGAGAGAAUACGAAGGUUCUUCUAGAAAUGCUUAUCUGUGGUUAUGAGCCAGAUGUGGAACCCUUUCUAUCAAUGAUGCUUCGAACAUUCUGUGCAUCGAAGUUGCUUGACUUGCGUACCAAAGCAAGGAUCUUUGUGCCAAAUGGAAGAUCAAUGAUGGGAUGUUUGGAUGAAACAGGGACUUUGGAAUAUGGUCAGGUGUUUGUACAAUUCUCUAGGGUUGGAAAUUUGCAGUUUGGAAGCAAAACUAUGCUAAAGUCGAGCAGAAGUGAGUCGCCGCUCGACGCCUUUAUUUUUCAGGGAGAGUUGGUGGUUGCGAAAAACCCUUGCUUGCAUCCUGGAGAUGUCCGUGUCUUAAAGGCUGUUGAUGUUCCAUGUCUGCACCAUAUGGUUGAUUGCAUUGUUUUUCCUCAGAAAGGAAAGAGGUAAAUUUUUUCCUUUUACCGCUGCCUGCCGGUACUCAUUUUUUUUACCACGUCAGUUCUUCUCAUUCCUACCGAGUAACAAUCUAGGCAGUUGAGUCUGGAUGCAUCUCUCUCUGUUUUUUUCUUUUUCAAUAUUUAUUGUCUGAAACCUCUGGUCUCAGCCAACCGUUGGCCCCCCCAAAAAAAGGAGAAAAAACCUAGUGGGUUUGUUUGGGAAUUGUGAUUAUUUUAUAAAAAGGUGGAGGGUGCGCUAGUUUGUUCAUAAAGAUACCAAGGUGGUGUUGACAAUGUGCAAAUUUUUUUAUGAGAAAUAUUUUUUCAAGGCUAUCAAGGACAGAGUAUUAAGCAUGUGAAUGAACUGAAUGACGUAUCAGCAUUUUCUUUGUUUGGUCAUGUAUUUAUUUAUAUAGAUAGAAACAUUCAUGUAACUGGGGUGCGCAAAAGAUAUUGUACGAACAAACCCAUGUCGUCCAUCCUAGACAACCAUAUGUAAGCAGAUAAAAUCAUGAUCACAUUACUUCUCAACUCCAUUUUUUCCCCUAGUUGGUCAACUGGCAUCUCUGGCUAUAAGUAGAACUUGACAUAUUUCUUCAGCUGUGAUUAUCAUUGUUGCUCUCAUGUUAUUUAUUUAAUAGAUACCAAAUGUGGACUUUCUUUAGAUGGUAAGUUUCAUAAUUACAAGCAAUCAUGGAACGGAUCUAGAUUAGAUUUCCCUGUUUGUUCGUGCAAGUUCCUGCUCUGUACCAGAUAGCAUUUACACAUAAUCUACAUGAUUUUCUGAUAUUUUGCUACUAAUCUCCAGGCCACAUCCAAAUGAAUGUUCAGGAAGUGAUCUAGAUGGAGACAUCUACUUUGUUUGUUGGGAUGCUGAUCUGGUUCCUCCUUGUUUUUAUCCACCCAUGGAUUAUACCCCGGCACCUACUGUAACUCUUGAUCAUGAUGUCACCAUUGAGGUACUCAUUGGCCACUAACAGACAGCUACACCUAUUAUCUCUGAAAGCACAUGCAUGCUUGCCCGUCAACAUUACCUUUGAGAGGACCACCCUGGUGUAGUUUGCAUUCAUAUUGUUCGAGUGAUAUGCUUAUGUGCAAAAUAUCUUGUAUGAGGCUGCUGAAUGAGAUCAAUGACUUACCAAAAAAAAAUAAGAUCAAUGACUUUUAAAGAGCAGUUGCGGUGGUAAUUUAGUGUGGUUUUCUUUUACCCAGAUAUAUCAUAUUCUUUUGACAAGCAAUAUGAACAGAAAUUUUGCUAAAACCUCAGUUGGAUGUCCUAUAGUUGUCAGCUUUGGCAUUGACAUUCCAUGCUUUUUGGCUCUUCAAAUAUAUUUGUAGUCCUAAAAUACAAUAUGUAGCACGGGAUAGGCUAUGUUCUGGUACUUCUGAACGGAGAGUUUCUAUGUGCAACCAUUAGUCAUCUAUCAGGGAAACCAGUAGAUGCACAAGUGCCGGAUAUCACUAGAUCCCCUUGUAGUUUAUGAAGGAAUGAGAUACAUGAAAGCUAGAUAAUAUGUAUGGCACUGCUUAAUUCAAUUUAUUGGGGAACUUAGUUGGCAAUGUUUGUUACAAAGCGGAUAUCUGAGCAUCUACUCUGUUUUGUUAGCAUAGUGUAAUUCUUGUUGCUCAGCAUGUGAACCUUCUAGUUCUUUGACCUGUUAAAGAAUGUGUCCUUCUGUUCCGUAGGGUGUCUCUUCAAACUUUACUUGCAAAGUCUUUCUCAUUUGACAUUUCUAUAUUAGUUUCAUGAGGAACUUCAUUUGUUAGCAUCUGCUGCUAAUACAUACCUUCUUAGUGGAUAACUGAUAAACUCAUGCUAACCCAACUUAAUGUUUUACCAUCCAGGAAGUCGUGGAGUACUUCGCAGAUUACAUGGUCAAUGAUAGUUUAGGGGUUAUUGCAAACUCUCACACAGUGUUUGCAGAUAAGGACCCAAGUAAGGCGUGCAGCAAAUCAUGUACUGAGCUUGCAGAGUUAUUUUCCAUAGCAGUUGACUUCCCGAAGACUGGUGUUCCUGCUAAAAUUCCGUGUCAUCUGCGAGUUAGAGAAUACCCAGACUUUAUGGAAAAGUCUAAUAAGUCCACCUAUGAGUCUCAGCAUGUCAUUGGGAAGCUUUACAGAGAGGUCAAGGGGAUUGCACCACACACUAAUUCAAUAAAUUCCUUCACGAGGGUAGUUGCUCUGAGCUCCUAUGAUUGUAGAAUGGAAAUAGAAGGCUUUGAGGACUACAUCAUGGAAGCCUUUCAGUACAAACUUAAGUAUGAUUGCAAAUUGAGGAGGUUGAUGCAUUAUUAUGACAUCAAAACUGAGGCCGAAAUGCUGAGUGGGAAUAUCCUUACGAAGUCGAAAUAUUUUGAUAAAAAAAGAGACCUGGAAAGUAUAAAUUCUGCUGCGAGGUCCUUGAGAAAGGAAGCCAGGUCAUGGUUCGAUGAUACAGAGUCAGGAUCAGCUUCUGGAGGUGUUAAUAUUUAUGCAAAGGCAUCUGCUUGGUAUCAUGUGACCUACCACCCUAAUUUCUGGGGCCGCUAUAAGGAGGAGGCUCAUGAAGAUCAUUUCUUAAGUUUUCCGUGGUGUGUUUAUGACAAGCUACUUCACAUAAAAAGAGAGAGGGCUGCUGUAGAGAAGUUGGCAGACAUCAGCAUUUGACUGCAGAUUCUGAGUUAAAUUUUCUGAAGCAUUCAAGUAUAUCUUAGAUGUAUGUCUUCCUUGUGAAGGCAAAUUAUUUGCAUCAGUUCUCAUGUAAGUUCCACGGACAUGCUCUUAUGACAUAUGUCAACCUGUUAUAAGUUUGGUACCGUUGUGUAUAUGUGUGUAAUAAGUUUGGUACUAUUGUGUAUUACUUUUAUGUGUGAAUAUAUAUAAGGAACUACUUUUUAUCUCAGUGUCGUAGUUAUGGAGGCAAAUGAUCCAAUGUCGGUGCUAGUCUAUUCCAUGAAAACAGCAUGCAUGUCGCCAUAUUUUUUCAAGUGAAAGUUCUUUGUCCCCCUUCUAGAUUUCUUUACCAGAAUUCUCGAGAUAUUCAUAGUUCAUUUCUUUAGUUUCUCUCUAGGACUGCAUAAUGGGAUUUGAAUCUCUAGUGAAGCAUUCCCUAAGGCACUCAUCGACUCUAACAAGCGAUUGAUAUUGAAAUGGAAAUGAUGACAUUGAAAUCACCACGAAAGGACACUUAAUUUAGAUAUAACAGAGUAAUUUAGGUAGUAGCGAUUUUAUUCUAGUUAAUCGAACUUUAGGGCAGUAGAGUCAUCUUCAAAAGAUGCAUCAAUGGCGUUUGAGAACAAUGAACAUUAGAGUCCCUUCCUUGUAGCUCGAUUCCAGUAGGUGGCUGAAAUCCUGAGUCUUUUCCACAAGACGUCGAAAGAGUUCGUCGAUGAUCUCGCUUCUGAAGUGUUUGCUGAUGAUCCCCUCCAAGCCCGCUCUUAGGUGUAUCACAAUAUCUUGUGCAUGGAGUCCACCUUCAUACCUCGUUUGGGUGUUAAGCAGUUCCAUCUUCUCUAUGUGAAAACUACCGUCCAUUUUGACUAGCUGCGCAAUCUCCCUCGGAGACGCAGGAUACAGUGGCAUGUUGAAGCAAUCCACUUGCUCUUCACUUAUUAUUCCCUGCAGCGAAAAGCUCGCCCAUUUGUGGCUCUCCGUCAGUUGAAUGAAGUUAAAAGUUCAUGCAGUCUAAUGUUGAUCUCUCUGAUAGAUGACUAUCAUGGGAGAAAAUUUUAGUGGCCUAACAGAUAAGCUGUCAAAUCUCUGGAUUAGAAGAAUUGUGAAAACAUUAUUGAAAAAAAGGACAUUAUAAUCGAGUUGCAUAUUCUAAGAAACUUGAGUAGAGCUUCAGUUCUUGGAUUCGAGACUACCGUGGCGGUAUUAUUGGUCGUGCUGUCUAUAGAUGUGCAUAUGCACGAAACCUUUUCUUAAGUUGAAUAAACUUCACAUCCCAGGUAGACUUGUUUUUUCCUUCUUCAGUCUAAUAAAAGAUUAUAAGGAAAAGGUCGAACAGGAGUUGGGAGAUAUUGUGAUACCAUACCUCUUUGGCCAUGUCCAUGAGACUCAAUCCAAUGAGAUCAUACAUUACGCAUAUGGGUAUCUUAGAAUAUGGAACAUCUCUUUACACACUGUCCAUUUGCAUCACAAGCUUGAUAUUCAGCAGGUCAGGGAGGACUCUAGCUUCAAAUUUCGUCACGCGGCGUGGAUGUGUCGUUAUUUGUUGAGCUUAACUCCAUCGUGUUAGAAUCUUGAUUGAUCAUAUUGAUCUUUGUCAAGUGAUGAAAGUUUCUAGAUCUUCUAUUGGGGGUGGCGGGCACGUCAUGUAAAACCCCCUAUUAUGGAGUAAUGUCGUUUCUCGAAGUUUUCCCCCAAAAGAAGCAAAUAUGUAUAGAUCGGAAUGAAUUAUUUUACGGACAAGAAGAGUACCACCGGAAAAGGACAUGAGCUUUCUUUUCAUUGGAUGAGGUAGCUGCCUUCUUCAGUUGCUCUAAUUGCCAUGGUGGUGAUAAUUUGAUUUCUCCCAUAAGGGAAUUAAUAGAAAAAAGCAUACCCAGAUUAAAAAAGAAAAAGAUAAGAGUAUACCCAAAUCAUGUUGGUCCCGCUGUUGACACCUAGAUUUUGACGGUCCGUUUAGUCAUUUUUCACAUUAAAAUUAGGGUUUAAUCAAUAAUUAAUUAAUUGCAUAACAUUUAGUUAUAGGUGCAUUUAUUUUUUUUUGCAUUUACUGGACCGGUGGUGGAUGGGUUGAAUUAGUGAUUUUGGGUUUUAAAUUAAUUAAUUGGAUUAAGCUCACAAAGCGAGCAGGUUGGCCCAAGCCCAUGUUUUUUAUUGAAAAUUAUCUCGUGGAAAAUUGAGAUUUGAUGUAAUAUUACGGUAGUUUUUGACGUUUAAAAAAUCAUAUUGCAAUCUUAUCUUUGGUCUUUUUGUGAUAAAAUCAUUGGGAAUAUUAAGGAGGAUAAGGAAUAUUCUAAAAUAUUUUGUUGCAUAUGGAUAUCUCGAAGGAUUUUAGAAUUGGAUAAUGGAGUUUUAUCUAAAGUGAAUUAUUUGGAAAAUCUUCACAAAAAAUUUCAGUUUAUCUUCAAUCGCUGAGUCAGCAUAUAAAAUCUUCAAUGGUCGAGCGAGUCAGCUUGAAAGAUUUUAAUAGAUGAUUUCAAUGGCCGAGUGAGCCAGCAUGCACGAUAAUCUCGAAAGAUGAUCUUCAGCGAUUGAGUUGUUAUGCAAAUCUUCGUAGGUUGAGCAGACUAAGUUUCCACUCUAUAAAUAGGGGUGGUCUUCUCUUCGUCCGAAAAGGAGCUUCUUUUAAAAAAUUCAGAAAAAGUGAAAGGGGAGAGAAGCCAUCCGUGGAGGUUAAAAGGAAAGAAGAGGAAAAAGCAAAAAGCUUCUGCAGAAAAGCGAAGGAAGAGGGAGAGUGACGUGAGAGAGAGAGAGAGAGAGAGAGAGAGGAGAAAAGUAAAGGGGUGAUUUGACCCCUACUGUUCAUCGUCUUCCCAACUUGCUGCCCACGUUGCUGUUCCAGUCACGACGCCAUUGAUCCGACGCCCUCUCUGCUCGACACUACCGCGCCUCGCCGCUCACCCUCUUUUGGAGCAUCCGUCCGUGCACACCGCCUCCACUCAGCCGACGCCGCCUGGAACCCGAAGCCCACGACCUGCAGCUUGCGCCCGGCGGCACAGUGGUCUGCCUCCACUCAGCCUACGCCACCAUACCAGCACCUCUGCCCAGUCGCCGUUGUUGCUCUGAUUUGCUGACCCACGACGCCGAAACUAAACGCCGAGCCACUACGCACCCGUGGGACAACAUCGCUGCGACCCGCAACCCCGCUGUUCGCCGGUCACUGACGCCGCGCCUCCCUGUUGCUGCUGCCGCCCAGUCCGCGCCAAAACUCCGACGCCGGCUGUCUCCUUCGCCCGUGCCGCUCCUGUCUCGCCUGACCCGUGACCAGUUGGGCCUGCCUUCCAUCGCGACACCCACACUCGGAGUCUUCCGCCAGUCUUCGCCGGAGCUCUGAACGCCGAAGACCCAACCUCCGGUGACCCACCGAAGCCGCUCGACCGUAGGUGAAGAAAGCAGGAAAAGGAAAAAAAACAAAAGGAAAAGAAAUUAGGUAGCUUUAUUUCUAUUUUUCUAUUUGUUUUAUUUAUUUGUUUUAUGUUUUGGGAUGAUCUUUAUUUUAUGGAUUUAGUAUGCAUUAUCCGCAGGAAUUUUGUCUGGAAUUAUUAUAAUUAUUAAUUUGAUCCAAGAGACAUUGGAUCAUUUUUUUAAUUAUUUUAAUUGUUGGGCUUUCUGAGUAAAAUUUUAAUUGUUAAAUCACAAUGAUUAUUUAAUUUGGUCCGUAAGACUUCGGAUCAGAUUUGUAAUUAUUUUGAUCUCUCUGCUGUGAUAACUAUGGUUAGAAUAACUGUUAAUUUGACCCGUGAGACAACAUGUUAUUUUUUCGAUUAUUUUAAUCAUUUAUUGCUUGAUUUUGUUGAUAGUUUAGAUUUAAUAAUUACUUAUCUCUUAAAAAAAAACUAAAAAAUCAUAAGAUAAAAAAAAAUCAAAAUUCUACAUGAGUAUAUAGGUUUAGUAAAUCAAGCAUGUAGGUUUAACAAAUUAGGAUUUUCUUAGGAUUGCAUUUUUAAGAUUGCAUUUUUAGGAAUAAGUUAGGAUUGAACCUAAAUAUUUUUUAGGGUUUUAGAUAAUGUUCGCAUAUUCUAAUUAUCUCAUUUUCCCAAAAAAAUAGCUUUCUAAGAUAGGAUAGGGUUUAAGUCAAACUAAUCCCUAGAAUAAAUUAGAAAGUUAUCAUUUUUAGAUAGAUUAAUUAAGGUUUUCAUGAAUUCUGAAUUUCAAUAUAAAAAAUGCAAAAAUACUAGGUGCAUGUUAACUAGUUUGCAUAAUAGGAUUAUUUAAUCAAAACUUGUUAAUUAGUGAAGUUAGGUCAUGAGGUGCAUAAUAAUUAGUUUGCAUAAUAGGCCCAUUUAAUUAAAUUUUGCAUAUUAAUAAGAUUAAGUCAUUUGGUUUAAAAAUGCAUUUUCAUAAAAUCAUUCUAAUUUUUAAGAAAACCCAAAAAAAAUGAUUGCUUGCUUUGUGUGAUGCAAUUUAUUUAUUUGAUUGCUUUAAUAAUGGAUGAGCACCCGUGUGGUCACCACAUUUGCAUGAUAGUAAUUUAGGUUAAAAUAAAUCAGCUGCUUGCAAAAAUAUUUUGAAAAAUUAAAAAGAAAUGGUACCGAAAGGGCAUUAGAAAAUUCUAAUGUAACCAAGUCCCCGUACCCUUAGUCUUUGGUUCGUAGGAGUAAAAUAAAUCUCCAUUUAUUUUACUUAGGUGUCUAAUCGACCUACCAUAAACCGAUUAGUGUCGACUCCUAGAUAAUCAUAAAAUUAAACCUAAGUCGUGAUUUGGUAUGGGCUUGGGAGAGCCCGAGCUAAGUGUAAAAGCUUAGCAGUCCAUUAACCUAGUUUUAGGUGGUGAACCCGCGAAAAUUAGGUCGCGACACCCGCUAAUCAUUUCCCUCGCCUUUUAUUUUAGCUAUUUUAGCUUCCUCACCGUGAAGGGUAUGUUCUCCAGCCGUGCUUUUCAUUGCUUUGAUCAGAUACACCUAUGAAAAUGCUGCAUCUUUCAGAGAUUUGACCAGAUGAGAAAGCCAGCCAAUGGCAAUCCUCGGAAGGGUUUAGAGAGGGUGACUUGGUUGACCUGACCUUUUAAGCUUUCUUGUGGUUAUCGCGGUGUGUAGAUGGUGUAGAAUGAGGUGUAGGAGCUGGGAUAAAUGCAAAACUUUUUAUGCGCAUAAAAUAAGCAAGACAGUAUGAAUGUAGAAGACACGGAAAAUAGACUUAUACAGUCAUUCGUUAAUCGCUCAAUUCGCAUUAUCUUCCUUUGCCAAUAGCCCAAUAACGGCCGAUUGGGAGGAGCAUGUGAAGCAACCACAACCGCCGCACGAUAAGGCAAGUUCUUCAGGAGUGAACUGAGAAGAGACUUAGAAAGAAGUGAGACCAGAGAGAGAGAGAUGAGUUCAUUGCGCUUCGAUGCAUGUAAAAUUUCUACAGUUUGGUCGUUUUGACGUAUAAACUUACAUAGUCAUAAAAUGAAAAAAGUUCGAUUCAAUCGAUGCUUUUCUGGAACGAAAAUGGGUAUUUGUCUGGUUAACAAGUGCACUGAAGCCAUUGGCCAAUUUCACUGAAAAUAAGAAAUUAUACUUCUCGGGAGUUUUUGACGAAUGAAGGAAUGCAAAUUUGAAGGAAGUUAUGUACUGCAGAUGUUUAUAUUAUCAAAACAUAUUUAAUGAGACCUAACCUGUGUUGUAGGAGCAUACUUUAACGUCUUUCGUAGUAUAUAUAUAUAUAUAUAUUAAUUUUGUGUAGUAUGUUAAUAAAAUGAAUGGUUUUUUUUUACUGGAUUGCGCUCUAUUUAUAUAUUAAAUUAAAAAACAUGUAGUUAGAUAGUCAAAAGGAUCAGAAAGUGAAUCACACAAAUUUUUCUUUUGUUUCAUUGAACUAUGAGUUUAAGCUCACUUGUCGAAUGAAAAAUAAUUUUAAUGGUGAUGAGAUUUCAAAUAGGGCCAAUCGGUUUCGAACUUGGAACCUAAAAUCUAUCUUGUUAGAACCAGUUCUUAGUUUUUGAAAUUUGGAACUAACCUUGUUUACCUCAAAAUCGUCCCUAUUUUUUCAGUUCAGUUCUAAAGUCUACUCAAGAACCUGUUUUUCUUUAAUUUUUUUAUUUUAUUUUUUACAACAAAAUAAUACGAGUAAUAAAACGGUUCAAAGUAAUGCAAGGCAAAAAUUAUGAUUUGUAGGUUUUAUGAAAUUGGUUUCAAAUUUCUUCCAAUAGGUUUGGUUCCCAAGUGGUUCCUCACUCGGAACUAAAAUCAAAUUGAUUUUAGGGGUCUGAUCCAAUUACGCAGCCCUAAUUUUGAAAACCAUUACUUGUCACCCCUCCCUUUCAUCCUUUUCAGAUUUUCAUACUUCUAGUUUCUGAAACUUUUGAAAACAGAUUUUGAUUAUUUAAAUCAUCACAUAUAUGCCACAUAAGCAUCAUAUUAAUAAUUAACAGCCGUAUCAGUAACUCCAAUUAUAUUCGUAACGGGAAGACCAAUUCGAACAAAUAAAAAUAGAAUUUAAGGACUUAAUUGUAAAAAAGAAAAUAUUAAAAGACCGGAUCAAAUAUUUUGUAAGGUUAAUGCCCUGAAAAACCCUAAACUGGUAUACCUGUGACAAAUUUACCUUAAACUAAUUUUUUGACCACCAAACACAUUUGACAAAUUUAUCCAUAAUUGGUAUACUUGUGACAAAUUUAUUCUCUAUUAGUUUCUGUUAAAUUUUGACACAUAACAAUUAACUGGUGUAUCGGUUUAGGAUUUUACUUUCCGUUUGUCACAAUUGAUUUUUUUUUCUUGGCACAAAACUCUUUGGAGUUCUUGGUAAUUUUUGGUGGUAUUAAUCCAAUUUAACGGAGGAUAUAUUUGUCUUUAGGGUUUUUGGCGGUUGAAUAAAUUAGUUUGGGGUAAAUUUGUCACAAGUAUAUAUAUUUGGGAUUUUUUAUGGUCAGCUGUGGUAAAUUUGUCAUAGAUAUACUAGUUUGAGGUUUUUCAUGGUCAAAAAAUUAAUUUGGGGUAAAUUUGUCACACGUGUACCAGUUUGAGGUUUUUCAGAGUAUUAACCCAUUUUGUAAUGGUUUAUGGAAUUUAUGGUAGACAAAUUGUUGGGAAUUUGUAUCGAAAACAAUAAGACAUGCAUAGGUAAAAUUGAAUCAAGAUGAUUCGCAGUGGAAGAAAAAAUACCCCAUACAUCUAUCUCCAAAACAUUGUCUGUACAUUUUAAUAAGAAGCAUGUAGAAAUGAAAAGAAGGCUAAUCACAUCAUUAUCGUACUGUGCUAAACAUUUUUGGUUUUGAUGUUUUUUAGAUCCAAAAACAAAAGUUUGAUGUCUUCGUAGCAUAGGUCUCGACGUUCUUUAGAUCCAAAUCACAAACAUUCGAUCUCUUUGUAUCGUCCCUAAAGUAUUCCGAUUCUAAUGUUAUUUAGUUCUAGUCUCACAAAUGUCGGACCUCUAAUUCAAGUACUCCACCAAUCUCACAUCGAAUGGUAGAGAGAAGUUCGAGAGAAUUGUACUAUCAAUUGCUCUCGUAUGUAACUAAUUUGAUUGAUCUCUAGUCUCUUUCUCUCACUUCUUAUAACCAGUCUCAAAUUACAUUUAUUUAAUUUAAUUUGACUCAUGAACUCUGAUACCAUUUCAUAACAUUAAUUACACUAUAAAGCUUGUACUCGCUUCAGAAUCUUCUAAAACUGUUUCAGAGUAGUAAUUUAGGAUUAAUUUUGUAACUAUUAUAGAGUUUGUUUUGGAUAUUAAGUUUGUAACCGUCAGAAAACUUUAUUCUGGUAUUUAACUUUGUAACCGUUACAAAAUUUUAAUUCCACUGUUAAGUCUAAAACCUUUUAGAACAUUAAUUUGGUCGUUUGAUUCUAAAGUUGUUUCGUUUCAAAUCAUUAAUGUGAUUAUUGAUUCUAAAACUGUUUCGGAUUAUCAAUGUGACCAUUGAUUCUACCGUUGUUUCAGAUCAUUAAUGUAACCAUCGAUUCUAAAAAUCAUAUGGCCAUCAAGUCCAAAACCAUUCCGAAUAUUUAAUUUGGUUGUUCAUUUCCAAACUCAUUUCAAAUCAUUAAUAUGGCUAUUGAUUAUGAACUCGAUCUUUAAUAUGGGUGUAAAGUUUGAAACCAUUUUAGAUCUUUAAUUUUGCUAUUAAUUUUGAAACUCACUUUAGAUCAUUAAUGCGACCAUUAAUUCUAAACUCACUUCAAAUCAUAAAUGAGGCCAUUGAUUUUAAACUAAUUUAAGAUCUUUAAAAAUACCGUAAAGUCUAUAUCAAAUCUUUAAUUUUGCCAUUGGUUCUGAAAAUGUUUUAAAACUUCAAUCUUUAGCUUGAUUCAAUCUAAUUGUUGCAAUUGCAUACACAUUUGCAACAUUUUUUUCCCAUUCAAACGUCAUUCUAAUUAGUUAUGGUGUGUGAUGUCUUUGGGUUCAUGACUGAGCUAGUAGCAUGAGUUAUACUAAUACAUUAGCACAACUAAGAGAAUUUAUUGUUCUGAUCAAUUUCUAGUUCCUACAAACUAUAAGUGACAUCUAGUAAUAUGUUAUGGCUAUCCAAAUAACGUGAACAUUUCAAAAACAUAAUGAAUCUAGCUUUGGCGAUCAUGUAAUUCAAACAUUUUGUCUUUCUAUGUUUUGAUUCAAAGGCCAUUGAAUUGUUUGUUAAGCCAUUAAUUCGAUCAUAUGCCCAAAUUUUAUUGACAUGCACCUCUACAAGACAUGAACUAUUUAUUCUCGGUUACAAUUCCUAUAGAGAAUUUUAAUACAAUGUCAUAAUUAGAUUGCAUAGGAGAUCAUUAAAAAGAUAGAUUUCAUAUUGCAUAUGCAUGUGCAUUCAUAUGUAAACAAACUAUGACUAUUAAGCAUAGAGAUGGUUCGAUGGAGUGUAAAUUUUUGCACUUGUGAAUCAUAACCAUUCAAUAUACAAGUCAAUAUCAUGCCUUAGGUUUAAGGAUUUUACAUAAGAUCAAAGUAUGGACGAUUAGUUAUUGAUCUCGCUAAAAGUAGCUAAUUGUUCUAUGCAUGUUAUGUUCAUUGAACUUGUCCAAUACAAGUAUCCGUGUUCUAACUCAAAUAUCAUAAAUGACUUGUGACUCAUCAUCCCUUUCAUGGUGAAGCUUGAGAAUACGUCUGUCUGAAUAAGAUCAUUAAUAUUCUCUCAAUGAUUCAUCGAUGAGAAUUGUUUAAAGAUUCAGUUUAACACACGUAUUCUUAACACUUUAAGAAUAUGUUCAAUUGUAACUGAUUGUAUAAACUCAUUCAUACAAAUGAGACAAUAAAUGAAUAUUUUUUUUAUACUAUUGAAAUCCUUAAUAUGUAAUUAUUACACGAUUGCUUUAAGCAUAUAACUAACACAAGUCACUACUAGUGAGUCCAUAAGAAAGAUUUCCAUCUGUUAGUUGGCAAUGCCAUUUAAAUUGGCAAAAGAACACUUCAAGUGCCUUAACUUUGCACAAAGGGACACUUAAAUGCCAUAACUUACGAAAGGUACACUUAAGUGCCAAAAUCGGAGUAAAAUGGAUCACUUGAGUGCCAAUCCGGCCAAAAUCCGGCCAAAAUGCUGACGUGUCAAUUUUCCGGCGAAACAAGUGCGAAACGGCGUCGUUUUAAUGCUAAUGUGGCCAAAAACUUAAUAAAAAAUUAAUUUAAAACUAAAUUAAUUUAAAUAUUUAUAAAAUAUUAAAAAUAUUUAAAUUUUUAAAUUUUUAAAAAUUUAAAAAAUUUCAAAAAACUAAAAAUAUUAAAAAAAUUUAAAAAAAAUUAAAAAAUUCAAAAUUUUAAAAAAAAUUUAGAAAAUUUUGUAAAAAUUUUAUAAAAAUUUAUAAAAUUCUAUAAAAAUUGAUAAAAUAUUUAAAAAUUAAAAAGAAAUUAAAAAGAAAUUAAAAGUUAAAAAAAUAAAAAAAAAAUUCAAAAAAUUUUAGAAAAUUUAAAAAAAUUUUAAAAAUUUUAGAAAAUUAAUUAAUUUUAAUUUAAAAAUAAAUUUAUUUAAAAAAUUUAAAAAUAAAAUUUUAAAAAUUAAAAACAUUUGCAAAAUUAAAAAAGUUACAAAAAAAUAAUUUUUUAAAAAAAAGAAAAGGGUGCCGGUUGAGGGCUGAAAUUUUUUGUAAAUUUUUUAAAUUUCUGUAAAUUUCGUAAGUUUUUUAAAUUUUUUGUAACUUUCUAAAAUUGUUUGUAAAUUUUUUGAAUUUUUUGUAAAUUUUUUGAAUUUUUUGUAAAUUUUUUAAAUUUUAUGUAAAUUUUAUGUAAAUUUUGUAAAUUUUUUUAUAAAUUUUGUAAAUUUUUUGUAACUUUCUAAAAAAUUUUGCAAAUUUUUAAAAUUUUAAUUAUUUUAAUUAUUUUUUUUAAUUUUUUAAAUUUUUUCUAAAUUUUUUAAAUUUUAUGUAAAUUUUGUAAAUUUUUUGUAAUUUUUUGUAAUUUUUUUGUAACUUUCUAAAUUUUUUUGUAAAUUUUUUAAAUUUUUUAGUAAUUUUUUAAUUUUUUUUUGGAAUUUUGUAAAUUUUUUGUAAUUUUGUAAUUCUUUUUUUUUAAUGUUUAAAGUUUCUAAAUUUUUUAAAAAUGUUUUAAAUAAAUUUAUCUUUAAAUAAAUUUAUUUUAAAUUUAAUUUAAAUAAUUUUUAUAUUAUUAUAAAAUUCGAAUGAUGUCAAAACGACGUCGUUUUGGCCGAAUUCGAGCUGACUUAGCUCUCCGGCGAGACACAUCAGCGAGAAAUAUUAAUAUUUUAAUGCCACGUAUGAUUUCCGGCCAACUUAGGUGUCCCACUUUUCUUAAAAUGUGGCACUUAAGUGUACCUUUCGUAAGUUAUGGCACUUAAGUGUCCCUUUGGCCAAAGUUAUGGUACUCCAGGGGUCCGCACGUCCAUUUAAAUUAGAAGCAUGCUUUUAACGUUGAGAAUUCAAAAUUUGCUCAGAAGUCAAGUACCAUCCAUUAGUCAUCGGCAAAUACCCUUUCCAGUCCCAUCAAAGGCAUCUUCAGCUCUCAACUGUUACAAGAUCCGCUUCCUGAAUCAGUUAAAAACCUUAAAAAAUGAGCUCGAACCCAUGGAACAGCAUCUUCCAUGCCGCUCCCAAAUUUCAGCUCCUUUCGUAUUGUUAUGUAUCACCCGUGACGUUCGUUCUUGUGCUCCAUUUCGUCAACACAAGCAAGACUCCAACCACACUCUACCUGCUGUUUGUUCCGUAGUCGAAGCUUCUUCUUUUCUUGCCUGAAACGAGAAUCCGAAGCAUAGACCGUUCUUCUGGUUGCGGAAAGCACCACUGUGGAGAAAAGCCAAGAGCUUGCGCUGACCCAGAUGAGGAAAUCAGUUCAGAAGCUUGGUUCUUCGACGGAGGUGAUGAAAAUCUGUGUUCUUUACUAGUGAUGCAUUUUCGUAAUGGCUCUUGCAUGAUUAGUUUCGAGUGUUUUCAUUUGCUUAUCGUUGGGUUCGCAGAAAUUCGGCGAGCCAACGCUCAUGCGGUUCUUGAUUGCGAGAUCGAUGGACGCGGAUAAGGCAGCGAAGAUGUUCGUGAAAUGGCAGGAAUGGAGGUCGACAUGGGUCCCGAAUGGGUUCGUUCCAGAGUCGGAAAUAGGCGAGGAAUUGGAAGCUAGGAAGAUUUUUUUGCAGGGGUUGUCGAGAAGUGGUCAACCACUGAUGGUCAUCAAGGCCAGCAAGCAUUUCCCUUCGAAAGAUCAGCUCCAAUUUAAAAGUAAUAAGCUCUUUUCUCCUGCUCGAAUUUCAUUUUUCUUUUGAUUUUCCAUUUAUGUAAUUGUGCAGAUUGAUGAAGAAAUGCGCGUGACUAGAUGCAAAUGCUAGGCGAUCUUCAUAUGGAGAUAUGUAGAUGAUACUGUUGCUGCAUUGUUGCAUGUGCCGUCAAUCUGUAGAUGGUCCCUUUCACACGAGAUAAAAAGUUUCCAGCAUAUAGUGCAUCUUGGGUCAGAAUGACGUGGCCUUUAUGUUUUGGAUCCCUUUAUUUGUUUGUUGGCUAUUGACGAUAGCCGAAGGUCGUUCCCUCUAUCUCUGUCUCUCUCCCCCCUGUUCCCUUGAAUACCAGCCAAAAGGAAAUGAUUGACAUCAUUUUAUCGGUCACCCUCCAAACUAUUACUUUCUCAAAAAUGGUGGCCGGCGAUUCAGAAACCAGGCAGCCUGGUAUUAACUACCCGUUUUCCGCAUUAAUUAAUUACCUGAUCAUAAUGAAUGAAGGGAUCUCCAUCUUGGGCCCCGGAUGCACCCCCAGGAUCAACCUUUUGCAAUUUGGUUUAUGAUCAUACCUUUCCUGGCCCUUUGGCUAAGAUCGAACGUGCAA
rnacentral:lncRNA from 1 species